rnacentral:rRNA from 1 species
AGGCGAGUAGCCUCAGGUGAACGAGUGAAACGUGGUCAAGGGACUCGGCAUAAUGAUCCCGUAACUUCGGAAGAAGGGAUGCCACGUUAGGUUGCCAGACUUGCUCUGGUUGCUUGACGGGGCCGGAGAGAAUCGACUCAAGCGACUGUUUAGCAAAAACACAGGUGCGUGCCAAGCCGCAUAAGGCGCCGUAUACGCACCGACUCCUGCCCGGUGCCGGAAGGUUAAGGGGAGAGGUUAGCCGCAAGGCGAAGCUUUGAUCCGAAGCCCCGGUAAACGGCGGCCGUAACCAUAACGGUCCUAAGGUAGCGAAAUUCCUUGUCGGGUAAGUUCCGACCUGCACGAAUGGAGUAACGACUUGAGUACUGUCUCGACCACGCGCUCGGCGAAAUAGCAGUCUCGGUGAGGAUUCCGAGUCCCCGCGACAGGACAAAAAGACCCCAUGCACCUUUACUGCAGCUUGUUAUUGACGAUUGCAUAAGACUGUGUAGCAUAGGUGGGAGCCGUUGAGACGGGGGCGCUAGCUCUCGUGGAGGCAUCAGUGAAAUACCACCCUGUGUUCUGUGAUCGUCUCACCGCGAUUGGCAAACCCAAUCCGGGACCGUGACAGGUGGGCAGUUUGACUGGGGCGGUCGCCUCCGAAAGAGUAACGGAGGCGCGCGAAGGUUGGCUCAGCGCGGUCGGUAAUCGCGCCUAUAGAGUGUAACGGCAGAAGCCAGCCUGACGGUGAGACCGACGGGUCGAACCGAGACGAAAGUCGGCCGUAGUGAUCCGGUAGACCGGUGUGGAUCGGCUAUCGCGCAACGGAUAAAAGGUACGCUGGGGAUAACAGGCUUAUCGCGCCCGAGAGUUCACAUCGACGGCGCGGUUUGGCACCUCGAUGUCGGCUUGUCACAUCCUGGGGCUGGAGAAGGUCCCAAGGGUUCGGCUGUUCGCCGAUUAAAGUGGCACAUGAGCUGGGUUCAGAACGUCGUGAGACUUCGGUCUGUAUCCGUCGUGGGCGUUGGAGGGUUGAGGGGUGCGAACUCUAGUACGAGAGGACCGAGUUGGACGAUCCGCUCGUGUCCCGGCUGUGGCGCCAGCUGCAACGCCGGGUAGCGAUGAUCGGUGGCGAUAACCGCUGAAAGCAUCUAAGUGGGAAGCGUCCCCCAAGAUGAACCCUCCCUGGGAACUUGAUUCCCCUAAAGGGCCGGAGGAGACUACUCCGUCGAUAGGCGACAGGUGGAAGUAGCGCAAGCUAUUACGAGCUCAGUCGUCCUAAUCGCCCGUGCGGCUUGACUGA